AGACAAGAGGAAAGAAAAUGAAGUCUUUCUGGAUUAUGACAAUUUCUGUUGCAUUUAUCGCCAUGGCUGGAUCUUUGAUGACUUUUGUGCCCGCUGCUGAGGUCCAACAUGUCCUGUUCGGUUCAACGGUCACGCUGGGCUGCAACAUCUCCUACCUUUAUGAUACAACAUGGCUUAAGCACCAACCAGAUCUCACCCCCGUGGUGGUUCUCUGUGCCAGCCUCAGAGAAGGACAACCAGUCCAAGGGUUUCAGCUUAGCCCUCGUUUCUCAGUGAAGUUGCUGAACCGAUCUCUGGCACUGAGGAUCGCUAGUGUUGAGGAGAGAGACCUUGGGCUGUACUAUUGUAUUGCUAAUGUGAACACCCAAUUAACGGUUGGGAGGGGAACAAAGCUUCAAGUUUUAUCUCCAGGUUCCUGGUUUCUCCUUCACCAUUGGUACUGUGUGGCUGUGAGUUCGGGGCUGCUGUUGAUGGUACUGGCUGUUUGCAUUACCCACUGGAAAACCAGGGCAAACAAGCGGACUACCAAUGGGACCUCGAUUGCAAACAGCAUCCAAAAAGACAAAACUGCUUCCAAGAAUACAUAAACAGCAACAACACCAACAGCAGCAAAUAUCCCAGCAGACAUUUGAACUUAUCCCAGCAGGAAAAGCACAGCGGUCACUGAUAACAUUUUUCAAGACCUUGAAACUGCCACACUUCAUGGAAAUCAGGCUUGAUUAAGGAUCUUAAUCACACGUUUUCAAGCUACUGUGUUCAAAGUGGUGGAUCUAGUAAAGGUGCUUUUAGUCACUUUGGUCCUGCUUGCUGGAACAAACUGCCUAUCCACAACUUUGUCUUUCAAAAGCCAGCUGAAAACAAAAAAAACAUUUAAAAACAUUGUCACGUGAAACAAUCUUCAAGCUGUUUUAUUUUUGUAAGGUAACCUUCCUCUUUAAAUAUGUAGGAUCCCAAAUUAUGAAUUAUUUUUCAUCUGAGCACGGCAGGCAGAGUGCAUCUUGUGUCCAGGAGGUCAGUCAAUCACGCAAACUUGGGAUCCUACUACAAUUUUACAUCUUAACAAUACAAUACCAUAUACUUGGUGUUUGUUUUUGUCCUAUGAUCGACCAUUAAAAUAACCAUUCAUCCCAUGCAGGAAAACUCAUUAGUUACAGCAGCAAGAAUAAAUAGGAGACAAGAAGAACAAAUGGACAAUAAAAAGAUAUAAAAUAAAACUAACUAUAGAGACUAUGUACAAAAUAAUAUAAAAAAAUAUUGCCUUGUGAAGAAUGGCUCAAUUUCACAGUGGAUUUUGAACUGCACAUGAAUAGAAUAUGGAUUAUUAAAUACAGUGUCUUUGGGCUAUUGCACAAUAAAAAUAUAUAAACACAGUGAAAAUAUAUAAUAUUGCACAAGAUAAGUUAGCAAAUGUUAACAUAAAUAAUAGGGUAGUGGGCAUUGUGGUGUUGUGAUGUGAAACAGCAUCGACACAGUGUUACGUUAAAUCACGCUUGAGUUAAACAGUCUGACAGCUGUUGGUGUGAAGGACCUGUGGUAGCGUUCCUCUUACACAGUGGAUGCAGCAGUCUGUUGCUGAACGAGCUGCUUAAGACCCCCACCCUUCAUACAGUGGGUGGCAUGGGUUGUCCAUGAUUGAUGUCAGCUUGACUGACAUCCUCCUCUCACCCACCUCCUCAAUGGUGUCCAGAAGGCAGUCCAGUACAGAGCAGCUCUCCUGACCAGUUUGUUUAGCUAUUAAGUUUGAGUCUGUUUGAGUUUCUCUCGUAUUCUAUUAAUUGUAUUCUUCUGUGCAUGUUGCUAAAGAAUCUGUAAUGAAAUCUGCAGCUUUCUUCAGAAUAUGUCAACCUAAGAUCAUACUGUAAACUGAAUAGCGUUGAAGAGUCUGGACUGUGUUUUGGAUGUAUUAACAUAUGUGCUAAUAAGUCCAGCACUGUAUGUUUUGCAAGACAACAUAAACUGAAGAA